rnacentral:rRNA from 1 species
GACGAACGCUGGCGGCGUGCUUAACACAUGCAAGUCGAACGGAAAGGCCCUGCUUUUGUGGGGUGCUCGAGUGGCGAACGGGUGAGUAACACGUGAGUAACCUGCCCUUGACUUUGGGAUAACUUCAGGAAACUGGGGCUAAUACCGGAUAGGAGCUCCUGCUGCAUGGUGGGGGUUGGAAAGUUUCGGCGGUUGGGGAUGGACUCGCGGCUUAUCAGCUUGUUGGUGGGGUAGUGGCUUACCAAGGCUUUGACGGGUAGCCGGCCUGAGAGGGUGACCGGCCACAUUAGGCCUGAGGUACGGCCCAGACUCCUACGGGAGGCAGCAGUGGGAAAUAUUGCACAAUGGGCGGAAGCCUGAUGCAGCAACGCCGCGUGCGGGAUGACGGCCUUCGGGUUGUAAACCGCUUUCGCCUGUGACGAAGCGUGAGUGACGGUAAUGGGUAAAGAAGCACCGGCUAACUACGUG